CUGGUCGGACAUCAGGAGGUUAGUGCAAUGGCAUAAGCCAGCUUGACUGCGAGCGUGACGGCGCGAGCAGGUGCGAAAGCAGGUCAUAGUGAUCCGGUGGUUCUGAAUGGAAGGGCCAUCGCUCAACGGAUAAAAGGUACUCCGGGGAUAACAGGCUGAUACCGCCCAAGAGUUCAUAUCGACGGCGGUGUUUGGCACCUCGAUGUCGGCUCAUCACAUCCUGGGGCUGAAGUAGGUCCCAAGGGUAUGGCUGUUCGCCAUUUAAAGUGGUACGCGAGCUGGGUUUAGAACGUCGUGAGACAGUUCGGUCCCUAUCUGCCGUGGGCGCUGGAGAACUGAGGGGGGCUGCUCCUAGUACGAGAGGACCGGAGUGGACGCAUCACUGGUGUUCGGGUUGUCAUGCCAAUGGCACUGCCCGGUAGCUAAAUGCGGAAGAGAUAAGUGCUGAAAGCAUCUAAGCACGAAACUUGCCCCGAGAUGAGUUCUCCCUGACCCUUUAAGGGUCCUGAAGGAACGUUGAAGACGACGACGUUGAUAGGCCGGGUGUGUAAGCGCAGCGAUGCGUUGAGCUAACCGGUACUAAUGAACCGUGAGG
rnacentral:rRNA from 1 species